ensembl:snRNA U7 U7 small nuclear RNA
CAGUGUUACAGCUCUUUCAGAAUUUGUCUAGCAGGCUUCCCAGUUUUUACUCGAAAGUCCAA